GGAAUUGACGGGGCCGCACAAGCGGUGGAGCAUGUGGUUUAAUUCGAAGCGACGCGAGAACCUUACCAGGUCUUGACAUCCCCUGACAACCCAAGAGAUUGGGCGUUCCCCUUCGGGGGACGGGUGACAGGUGGUGCAUGGUUGUCGUCAGCUCGUGUCGUGAGAUGUUGGGUUAAGUCCCGCAACGAGCGCAACCCUCGCCUCUAGUUGCCAGCAUUCGGUUGGGCACUCUAGAGGGACUGCCGGCGACAAGUCGGAGGAAGUGGGGAUGACGUCAAAUCAUCAUGCCCCUUAUGACCUGGGCUACACACGUGCUACAAUGGGCGGUACAAAGGGCUGCGAACCCGCGAGGGGGAGCGAAUCCCAAAAAGCCGCUCUCAGUUCGGAUUGCAGGCUGCAACUCGCCUGCAUGAAGCCGGAAUCGCUAGUAAUCGCGGAUCAGCAUGCCGCGGUGAAUACGUUCCCGGGCCUU
rnacentral:rRNA from 1 species